AUACGUAUGGGGCAAGCGUUAUCCGGAUUCAUUGGGCGUAAAGCGCGUGUAGGCGGCUUGUUAAGUCAGAUGUGAAAACCGGGGGCUUAACCCGCGGCGUGCAUCUGAAACUGGCAGGCUUGAGUCUGGUAGAGGAAAGUGGAAUUCCUAGUGUAGCGGUGAAAUGAGCAGAUAUUAGGAAGAACACCAGUGGCGAAGGCGGCUUUCUGGGCCACGACUGACGCUGAGACGCGAAAGCUAGGGGAGCAAACAGGAUUAGAUACCCCGGUAGUCC
rnacentral:rRNA from 1 species